CUGUCUGUUUGAAAUGCUGUCAGUGCCCUACGAUCCAUUCCGUUCAUCAAUGCUGAAGCCUCAGAAUUGCUGAAGCAAUGCAGAUUGCACUGUGAGGGGGCAGGGGACAAGAUAACGAGGACCCCGCUCUCCAGAAAGCCACAGGCAAGGAGGAAUAUGGGCUUUCAUUUGGCAGAUGGUAACCGCUUUGUAAGCGUUGGUUAAAUUGUUUCUAGAUAGAAAACAAGUACGAAUGUCAGAUUAUAGGAAGAGCCAUAACUUAGCGGGGAUGGUCGGGUUGGGCCCUUCUAAUGAGGGGUAGUUAGAGAAAACUCGGGAGGGAAUGAAAGUGGUUAGAGAAAACUCAAGGUAACAGUUUACCUGAGAGUGGUGGUAAGACAAGGAAGUGACCCAAAUUCGAGCCGGGGUAAAAACAUGCCUCAUGGAAGGCACAGCAAAAACAAAGGCCAUGAGACAGGAAAGGACUUGGUGUGUUUCAAAAACGAAUGUCCUGUGCGAGUGAAGAGUGAGGUUAAAGAUGGUGAGAAGGGCCAGGUCAUGAUUAAGGCUUCUCUGAGUCCUGAAGGUAGGAAAUGAGGGAGCCAAACACCAUUUAUUCAACUAAAGCAAGCAUGUCAAACUCGCGGCCCAUAAUGAAUAUUUAUGGAGCCCAGCCAAUAUAAUGGACUUCAUACAUUUAAACCUGGGCUUCCUCCAUCUCUCCUGAGUCGCUGUCAACUGCCUUUAAAGCUGGGAAAAGCCUUGCACUAAGAAAAUAGGAUUUUCCACACAGGCAUUUUGAACAAAGGGGUGGACCUAAAUAUUCAUUAAAUGUGUUGCCCCUUUUCAUCCCUGUCAACACUCCCUUUACACGUAGCAACUUAUUUCUUUCCUAACCAGUUCUGCUCUGGUCAGCUUUGCCCGAGCUCUCCAUGAUUGAUUUAAGUCAUCUCCCUAAUCUGCAAAUAUGGCCACGUCCCUCCCCUAUUCCUAGGGUAUAAAUCCUGAACUCCUUCCUUGACAGAUCAUGCAAGACCCGCUAUAAUUGGGGUCUUUCUCUCUCUUUUGUCUGACCUCCUGAUGGUUAACCUUCAAACCCUGCGUAUUAAUACUACUGGACUGCUUGUGAUCAUAUAUAUAUUGUUUCAAGACUCAGUGCUUUUGUGCAUCUUAUUGCUUCUGCCUGAAAUGCCUUUCUUCUUUUAAUUCUUUUUUAAAAAUAUAUUUUAUUGAUUUUUUACAGAGAGGAAGGGAGAGGGAUAAAGAGUUAGAAACAUUGAUGAGAGAGAAACAUCAAUUCAGCUGCCUCCUGCACACUCCCUACGGGGAUGUGCCCGCAACCAAGAUAUAUGCCCUUGACCAGAAUCGAACCUGGGACCCUUCAGUCCGUAGGCCAACGCUCUAUCCACUGAGCCAAACCAGUUAGGGCUCUCCUUCUAAUUCUUAUUCAACUUUCCAGACUUAACUGCCUUCCUCUGGGAUCUCACAGCAUCUUGUACUUCUUGUCAUAAACCAAGUAAAAUAUAUAUGAUUGACUAACGUGUCUGUCUCCUCCAUUGACAGUACACUAGGAGCCAUAUCUUAUUCACCUUUGUGCCCCUACAUCAUGUACAGUGAUGUACAUGUAGAUAAUAUUAACAUUUUCACUGCUUCUUGCUUUCACCUGUUGUGUGUGUGUGUGUGUGUGUGUGUGUGUGUGUGUGUGUGUGUUUGAAUCAUUUUAUCUGCUCCUGGUACCUUAGUUAUGCCCUAUUUUAUUUACUGCCAUGGUGUGUUAAAAGGAAAAAUAUCAGCUUUCUCGCUCUGACUCAGACACCACUUCUGAGCUUCUGAUGAUUCAGCUGCUUUGGUAACAUCUACACUUGCAUGUCUCCCAGGAAUCCAAAAUCAAGAUCCGGCUAUCCUCCAGUGUUCCUUUCUUUAUCAAUGGCACCUUGUUGAAUAUGCCAGAAAGUAGAAGUCGUGCCAACUCAUUCUGUUUUCUAAAUUCCCCAAAUGGUUGGGGAAUCAGAUGGUUGUUUUAU